rnacentral:lncRNA from 1 species
UGUACUAAUUCCUCUAUUUUCUUCUCUUUUCAAUAGUAUUCAAUGUUCUUCACUCAAACUGAUGAUUUUCUCUUUUUAAUCCUCUUCACUAUAUUCUCAAUUGAUUCUCUAGCCUUUUGUAAGCUUGGAAGAAGCUUGAGAGUAAGUUUUGACUAUUGAAAAGACUGAAAUAGCUGUUAGAAGCAAAAACUAGCUAUUA